CUGGAAAGCGGGUCCGCGUGUUUGCUUCCCCCCACCGCUGCUUGAUGCACCGUUCACACCCACAUGCUCUCUCUCUCUCCCUGUGUGAAACCCUCUAGUUUUCGUUUGGGUUUCGGAACUUCUUCUCUCUCUAACCCAUCACGGCAGACCCGAGAGAUCGAGUCUCCUGCGACUGUUUCCGUUGGAAAUAUUCCGGAGCGUCCAUUUCUGCAAGUGGGCAAGUAUCUCCGAAGAAAUUAUAGUCCAGAAAUUCAUAUAGUGAAGACAAAGAGAGAAGGAAAAUUGAGAAUUGAAUAUUUAUGAGUGUGAAGAUUAUAUUAUGCAGAGACUCUUAUGUGUUCACAUUAUUUACAAAAAAAUUACAUCAAUUUAGUCUAAUAUAUUAUCUACAAUCAAAUCAAAUCAAUCAGUAAUAUCAAUCUCAACAAAUUAGCCCU